GUGUGUGUGUGCAAGAGAGAGAGAGAAAGAGAGAGAGGAGACUGCAGCUGCCUUGCCGCGUGCCGAGUGGAGUCUCCAUUAGGGCAGCGCUAUUGAUUUCUGAUUCACACUGCAGCAACAGGGCUAGAGCUCAGAAGAAAAAAAAAUCACGUCUCAGAAACAGGAAUUACAAAGACAAAAAUAAGUAGAUAGAUAGUUUUAUACAAAAAUCAAGCAUCUGUUACCAAAGGAAAGCAAAACUGACAAUUUAGCAAAAUUUAAAGACUGUUUAUAACAUAGAAUAAGAUGUAUAGGAGAAGUAGAGUAAAAUGAGUUUAGAAAAAUUAUUCGUUCUAAUUUUUCAACCAUUUUUUUGAGAGGUGAUAAUGGUCUAAUUUCCAGAAUGCCUUGAAAAACCCUGGAAUACUCGGCAGAGGUGCUGCAAAGUAAAGCUUAUUUGAGGGCAAUCUUGAAGCUAUGCCUGAGAAUUUUAAACAACAAAAUAUCCAAGAUUUAUUUUUUCAAUUGUGUUCGAUUAUUUUAUUAGCUAGUAGCUUUCUCUGUUUUAAUUCUCUGUGUUGCAUAAUAUCUAGGAUACAGUAACAGGCUGGUUGCAAAUGCUCGAAACAGAAAUAGGUUUCUUCAUAGGCUGUGUUUCAGCAUGUCCAACUGUGAGCCUGUGAAGCAGAGCAUCGGAGUUCUCUCGAGGUCUGUUGCUUCAGAUUUGGUUAGAAAUUAUUGAAUCUGGAGUGUAAAAAUCUUGUCUGGGCCUUUUAGGCAGCUUGAUUUUAAAACUAGCCCUUCUGCCCCAAGACUUAUCAACCGCCCCCCCACCCUGUCCCAAAA
rnacentral:lncRNA from 1 species